rfam:Schistosoma margrebowiei strain Zambia genome assembly, scaffold: SMRZ_scaffold0004774
AUCCAGCUAACGAGUUCCGAAUAGGACAAAAUGAGCGUCCUGGAU